rnacentral:lncRNA from 1 species
UCCAGACUGAGGGCCAUGCUAGUUUGUUAAGAAUGCUUUUGAACUUGGUACAGCAUGGUGUUAUCCUGUCUCAAAAAGUGAAAGCCACUCUCAGCCUUGAAUACCAGGGACAAUGAUCCUCUGGGAAAAAUACUUUUCUUUCUGCCAUUUAGUAUAUUAUUUGUUGCUUUAUUUUGAAGGGUUGAAAUUAUGUUACUUAAUUGUUUUGAACAAAGACACUUUUCAAAAGCUUAAUUUUCAUUCAGUUAGAGACUGAAAUAGCCUCUUUCUUUAAAGAAUGUACUGAAGGAUAAAGGGUUUUAGUAAAGUUAUAUAUGUAUGAUUUGAGUUAGAAGUACAGAGAACGCUGAAACUAGGUCUUUUUAGUGUUAUUUCAUUAUCUCUUCCCAGUUUGAACCAGAAGGGCCAGAUGUCCACAAAAAUGAAUGGUGCUGGAUCUUUUAAAACCACGGAGGUUAAGUUUGUGUUUUAUCUUCAUCAGGUCCCACUGUUUGCUGAUAAAAGGCUUUGGGAAUUUAAAACCUUAACAACCACACUUGAAGAAGAGAGUAGAAGAAUAAUGCUUUGAGACUUACUGAGCCUUGGAAGAUGCAUGAGGAGGGUAUUGAAGGAUGAAUGGGUUUCCAAUGGAAAAAUAUGGAGACAACAGAUAUUAUGAUUCUACUGGAGCCCCUCUCUGUACAGAGUAGGAGAGAUGACUGUCACAGAAAAAUGCAAGCAAAUGUAAGCAGAGCAGUCAUAUCAGCUCAAGCUGAGGAUCUAUGUCUUGGGGUAUUCUGCUCAUAG